AUACGUAGGGGGCGAGCGUUGUCCGGAAUGAUUGGGCGUAAAGGGCGCGUAGGCGGCCCGGUAAGUCUGGAGUGAAAGUCCUGUUUUUAAGAUGGGAAUUGCUUUGGAUACUGUCGGGCUUGAGUGCAGGAGAGGUAAGUGGAAUUCCCAGUGUAGCGGUGAAAUGCGUAGAGAUUGGGAGGAACACCAGUGGCGAAGGCGACUUACAGGACUGUAACUGACGCUGAGGCGCGAAAGUGUGGGGAGCAAACAGGAUUAGAUACCCUGGUAGUCCACACUGUAAACGAUGAAUGCUAGGUGUAGGGGGUAUCGACCCCUUCUGUGCCGCAGUCAACACAAUAAGCAUUCCGCCUGGGGAGUACGGCCGCAAGGUUGAAACUCAAAUGAAUUGACGGGG
rnacentral:rRNA from 1 species